UACGAAGGGGGCUAGCGUUGCUCGGAAUCACUGGGCGUAAAGCGCACGUAGGCGGAUUGUUAAGUCAGGGGUGAAAUCCUGGAGCUCAACUCCAGAACUGCCUUUGAUACUGGCGAUCUCGAGUCCGGGAGAGGUGAGUGGAACUGCGAGUGUAGAGGUGAAAUCCGUAGAUAUUCGCAAGAACACCAGUGGCGAAGGCGGCUCACUGGCCCGGUACUGACGCUGAGGUGCGAAAGCGUGGGGAGCAAACAGG
rnacentral:rRNA from 1 species